rnacentral:ncRNA from 1 species
GCUUUCACUGAUCGCGCCGGUGUCCCCGCGAGGGGACUUAAUAGGGAAUGCGGUGAUGAAUCCGCGGCUGUCCCUGCAACUGUAAGCGGCGAGCGAGACGCAUAUCGAUUCUCUGAAAAUGCCAGAGGAUCAGCCACUGGGCCGGACGCUAAAUCCUGCGAGGCCUGGGAAGGCCAUGUGUCAAGCGAUGACCCGCGAGCCAGGAAACCUGCCUGCGUCUGGUCGCUCUU